rnacentral:SRP_RNA from 2 species
GCCGAGCUGGGUAACUUCAACUUGUAACUCAAGUGGGGGCAUGAAGGUGAUGGAACAUGGCUUAGGAUUUGCCAGGUUGGGUUGGUGGCUGCACCAUGCCGGCCUGCCCGCUCCAAGUUGAGAGUUGGGCCAAUGGGACCUAGGCGAAGGCUUGAGUCUCCUUGGUCCUAGACCUAGACUGGAGGGCACUGUGUGAGGCUGGUUUCACAGAGCAGCAAACACCUCCGGCUCUUGACAGUGAGUGGAGGGAUAACUGGCCGCUGCACUUCUAGCCCAAUAUGCCUGGUGAGCCUAGCCACUUGAACCACAACUUUU